ensembl:ncRNA lncRNA:CR44752 long non-coding RNA:CR44752
GAUGUCAGACAAAUGGAAACGACCAUUAUCGAAGGGUCCAUCAAAGGAUAUCGGAGGACACAAAGAUAAACAAAAGGUGGGCUCCAUCAAAGUCCGUUGCACAUACCAACAAACAAUGCAUCGAAACAGCAGCAACACUCGAAUGUGGCACUUGUAGCUUGAUUGACUUAUCAAAGGGAGCCAGAACCAGAGCCAAAAAGAGGAGUAGUUGUUGAAAUGAAGUGUUGACAAGUGGCAAGUCGAAGGAAUGUGUGCCGUGCUUGAAUCAAUGAGCCGAGUGAUGACAGCUGAGGAGGAUCGCAGGUGGGAAAAGGAAUUGCGGGUUGCAUGAAUGAGUGAGUGAGCUUCGCCGCUACGUGUUGCAUGCACCGCAGCCCCAUAUGGAAUUGAGUUUUCAGAGUCUGAAUUAUGUGCACGCAUUGUGCGCACGUCAUGACAGCCAACUGCUUACCAGAAGCGCAGCCCGAAGCAAGCCAGCAAGCUACCAACAUGCACAUUCAGAUUCAGAUUUCAGAGUUCCAGCACUUGUGCAACAACGCUUCACAGUUUCGAAUGAAAUUUACAACAAGUGCAGCAGGCAGAAAUGCUAAGGAGACACGGGACUUCGACAUGGAGAUGGAGUAACCAACCUGAAAAGUUGGGAAAACUGCACAGGGAAAAAUGGGCUAAAACGUACGAUGGCACCCAGAUUUGGGAGUACGCUGUUUUGCGAACUUG